rnacentral:misc_RNA from 1 species
GUUUAAGAUUGCUAUGUUGUGCGUCGAGGAUGAAAGGUCUGAUAGGCCCACCAUGAGAGAAGUUGUUCACAUGCUCACUGAUCCUCCCCAGUGUGUCCCAAGCGUCAGCACCCUUUAAGCCCACUGGACUGUAAACGAAAUGUUUGCGGUAAUGAAACCGAAUAAAUCGUAAUAAGCUUUGUGAUUUGUGAAAUUUACAUUUGCUAUGUUGUGUCUUAUUUCCAUGGAUUGAAUCUAGACAAAGGUUUCUAUGAUCAAAAUUGAUGUGAAUAUGUAAGGUUUCG